rnacentral:rRNA from 1 species
GAUGAACGCUGGCGGCGUGCCUAAUACAUGCAAGUCGAGCGAACGGACGAGAAGCUUGCUUCUCUGAUGUUAGCGGCGGACGGGUGAGUAACACGUGGAUAACCUACCUAUAAGACUGAGAUAACUUCGGGAAACCGGAGCUAAUACCGGAUGAUAUUUUGAACCGCAUGGUUCAAAAGUGAAAGACGGUCUUGCUGUCACUUAUAGAUGGAUCCGCGCUGCAUUAGCUAGUUGGUAAGGUAACGGCUUACCAAGGCAACGAUGCAUAGCCGACCUGAGAGGGGGAUCGGCCACAAUGGAACUGAGACACGGUCCAGACUCCUACGGGAGGCAGCAGUAGGGAAUCUUCCGCAAUGGGCGAAAGCCUGACGGAGCAACGCCGCGUGAGUGAUGAAGGUCUUCGGAUCGUAAAGCUCUGUUAUUAGGGAAGAACAGAUGUGUAAGUAACUGUGCACAUCUUGACGGUACCUAAUCAGAAAGCCACGGCUAACUACGUG